rnacentral:tRNA from 1 species
GGAGGAGUACUCAAGUGGUUAAGAGGGCAGUUUGCUAAACUGUUAGGGUGUAACAGCCGCGUGGGUUCGAACCCCACCUCCUCCGCCA